GGAACGUUUCCUUACCCCGAAAGAAGACGAUCAGAUACCUUCCCUAGUCUUAACCAUAAACUAUGCCGACUAGGGAUCGGACGGUGUUAUUUUUUGACCCGUUCGGCACCUUACGAGAAAUCAAAGUGCUUGGGCUCCAGGGGGAGGAUGAUCGCAAGGUUGAAACUUAAAGAAAUUGACGGAAGGAGACCACCAGGAGUGGAGCCUGCGGUUUAAUUUGACUCAACACGGUGUAACUCACCAGGUCCAGACACAAUGAGGAUUGACAGAUUGAGAGCUCUUUCAUGAUUUUGUGGGUGGUGGUGCAUGUUCCGUUCUUAGUUGGUGGAGUGAUUUGUCUGCUUAAUUGCCAUAACGAACGAGACCUUAACCUGCUAAAUAGCCCGUAUUGCUUUGGCAGUACGCUGGCUUCUUAGAGGGACUAUCGGCUCAAGCCGAUGGAAGUUUGAGGCAAUAACAGGUCUGUGAUGCCCUUAGAUGUUCUGUGCCGCACGCGCGCUACACUGACGGAGCCAGCGAGUACUUCCUUGUCCGAAAGGUCCGGGUAAUCGUGUUAAACUCCGCCGUGCUGUGUAUAGAGCAUUGCAAUGAUUGCUCUUCACCGAGGAAUCCCUAGUAAGCGCAAGUCAUCAGCUUGCGUUGAUUACGUCCCUGCCCUUUGUACACACCGCCCGUCGCUACUACAGAAUUGAAUGGCUCAGGGAGGCGUCCGGACU
rnacentral:rRNA from 1 species